UACGUAGGGGGCGAGCGUUGUCCGGAAUCAUUGGGCGUAAAGAGCUCGUAGGCGGUCUGUCGCGUCUGCUGUGAAAACUCAGGGCUUAACCCUGAGCUUGCAGUGGGUACGGGCAGACUAGAGUGCGGUAGGGGAGACUGGAAUUCCUGGUGUAGCGGUGAAAUGCGCAGAUAUCAGGAGGAACACCGGUGGCGAAGGCGGGUCUCUGGGCCACUACUGACGCUGAGAAGCGAAAGCAUGGGGAGCGAACAGG
rnacentral:rRNA from 1 species